rnacentral:lncRNA from 10 species
CACAACUCACUGCCAGAGCAAAGAGGAAAUAUUCAUAGGUUGAUGAUAGCCUGCCUUCAGGAGGAGAAAAACCACCAAAGAAUGAAACUGGCUGGUCUUCAAUUAAAAAAUUCAUUAAAGGAAGCACACCUAAGGAAGAGAGAGAAAAUCCUUCAAAAUGGAGUAUAAUUGAACGUGAUAUAGAUAAUAAUUUGAUCACGUCAACACCAAGAGCAGGAGAGAAACCUAACAAAUAGAUAUCUUGAGUAAGACAGAAAAGUCAAGUAAAUUGAGAAACUGGUAGUUAUGAAAUGACAAAUCAACAUGUAAAAUAAAAUGGAAAAUUAGAAAAUAAUCCUUCCUCUGGCAGUCCUCCAAGGACUACUCUGUUGGAGCUGAAGAAAUAGUAAAACAACUUAAUAUGGAACGGGUGGAUGAGAUCACUACCCGUUCUACUACAUCAACUAAUGGAGCAGCUUACUCAAAUCAAGCAGUUCGGGUGAGACCAUCAAUAAAUACUGGUUUAGCAAACACCACAUGUUCUCACUCAUAAGUGGAAGUUGAACAAUGAGAACACAAGGACACAGGGAGGGAAACAUCACACACCAGGGCCUGUCACGGGAUGGGGGGCUAGGGGAGGGCUAGCAUUAGGAGGAAUACCCAGUGCAGAUGGCAGGUUGAUGGGUGCAGCAAACCACCAUGGCACAUGUAUACCUAUGUAACAAACCUGCACAUUCUGCACAUGUAUUCCAGAACUUAAAGUAUAAUUUAAAAAUACAAAACAACAACAACAGCAACAACAACAACAAACCACAAUGGUUUAGAAGAAGCAGAAGAAACAGUUAAUUGUGAUAUCCCACCCCUUACAGGACCAGUCAUUCCAGAUAGUGGUUAUUCAUCAUCCCACGCAGAGGCCACCUAUGAAGAAGGCUUGGAAGUAUUUGACCCCUAUUAUUUCAUCAAACAUGUCCCACCACUGACAGAAGAACAACUAAAUAGGAAAUCUGUUCUUCCGUUGAAAACAAGAAGCACACCGAAAUUCUCCCUAGAUUUACACUUGGAUGAAACAGUAGUGCACUGUAGUCUAAAUGAGGUAGAAGAGGCAGCACUUACUUUUCCAGUCCUUUUCCAAGAUGUCAUUUAUCAGGUUUAGGUGAUAUUAAGACCAUUUUGUCAGGGAAUUCCUGGAAUGAAUUUCUUAGAUGUAUGAGAUUAUUCUUUUUACUGCUUCUAAGAAGGUGUAUGCGGGCACAUUACUGAACAUAGUAGACCCUAAAAAGCAACUGGUCAGGCACCGUUUUUUCCAUGAACAUUGUGUUUGUGUACAAGGAAAUCAUAUAAAGAACUUGAAUAUUCUUGCAAGAGAUCUUUCAAAAACUGUAAUAAUUGACAACUCACCACAAACCUUUGCAUAUCACCUUUCUAAUGGAACCCCUAUAGAAAGUGGGUUUAUGGAUAAAAAUGACAAUGAACUCCUAAAAUUGAUUUCAUUCCCGGAGAAGCUUGUAGAACUGAAUGAAGAUAUUCAUUCACAUAUCAGAGACAGAUUUCACUUGCAUGAUUUGCUGACCCAAGAUUA